AUUUUGGUGGCUGAAUUAAGGCGAUAGAUUGUAAAUCUUUUUAUGACUGUUUGUCCCAAAGCU
rnacentral:tRNA from 1 species